rnacentral:rRNA from 1 species
CGCGACCCCAGGUCAGGYGGGAUUA